GGUACCUUGCCCGAGUGGUUAGGGACCGGUCUGCAAAACCGGGGACAGCGGUUCGAAUCUGCUAGGUACCU
rnacentral:tRNA from 1 species